CUUCCUUCCUUUCUCUGUCGCCAUGUCAACUAACUAUAACUUCCCUUUCAUUCCACAUUUCUUCUCCCCCAAUUCACCAUCUCCUCAUACAUCUCUUUUCACCAUUUCCUUACACCCUAAAUUAAUCUCCAUCAAAAUCCUUCUCUUCUCAUUUCUCCAAACAUGCAUAACAACGACGUUAACUCUUCCUAUUUCCAAUAUUACCAACCUCACAUUCAGAACCCAAAUCCUAGCUCCGAUCAUCCGCACAAUCCCGCCGCCGUUCCCGACCAGUACGCGUCAGCUCCCCCGGUGCCGUCCGACUACUCCUCCGCCUACCCGCCAUAUUCUCACAGCUCCGCCGAUCAUUUCCCAACUGCAAACCCUAACACUCAACACCAACCUUACAAUUAUUACCCUUAUAAUCAAAAUCAAGCGUCUCUCAGUUAUGAUUAUAGUACACCCAAUCCACCUAAUUACAGUUCAUCAUAUUCGUCCGCUCCUCAUUCAAUCGAAAAUAAUGGCUCGUAUGGAGAACAAGGUUUUUAUGGUUCUGGUGUUUGUAAAUAUAAUAGUGGUAGGAAAGAGGAAUCUUACAGUGAAAGUCGGUCUGAGUUGAAUAUGGGGGUGAUGUUUGAUGAUUAUGGUAGGCCUAUCAAUAUUCAAAAUGGGAGGGAGAAUCAAGGACGCCCGAGUAGUCGUGAAGUUGUGAAAGCAACUCCGAAGAUGGAGGAGCAACAUGAUGUUACAGCUGGUGUGUUGAAGUUCCGCGUCAAGCUUUUAUCUGAAGGCGUAGGUCAGAGCGACAUGGAUGUGCUAUGUCAGAUUGGUCUAGAUGGGAUUCGCAUACUUGAUCCUGCUAUGACCCGAACUCUGAGAAUAUAUUUACUGGAGAAUGUGACAAGAUGGGAGAUAUUGGAUUCAUAUAUAUUUGCGUUUUGGGCCAAAAGCUCUGUUGAUGUGGAACCUAGACGUAUCAGGCUGAAAUCAAAUAGCUAUACAGUGAACAAUAUCCUGGACACUGUUACAGCAGCAAGUAUUCAGGUUAAGAGAUCUAUUUACUCUUCAAAUUUUGAUAUGUUCGUGUUGAUAAAUUCUUCGUUGAGAUAGCUGCAAUAAUUUUAAGCCCUGGAGCUGGUGGAAUGUGUCGAGUUACACAAGUUGUAGUCUUCUUUAUCUGGCUUAACAUCCUUUUUUUGUUUUGACGUAAACAUAAUCUGACUAAGGGAUAUCUGAACUGUUUUCGUACUAGUGUUAGAAUUUAUAUAUUGCUCUCAGGGCGUGUAGUUCAUGCUGAACUAAAACUGAAAUUCAUAGGCAUUGGCAUUUUUCCACACUCUAUGACUCCGGAGAAAGACCACAAGUGCUUUAUCUAAUAAGUGAGGAAUUUACAAACUUCCUUUAGUUUCUUUUUACCAUCAUGGAAGAUUUAUAGUAUUAGGGGUUAUCAGCCAUUUCUGCUACAGGAAGUCUUAGUCCAGAUCAGUGGCGUGAGAGCUCUUUGAAUCCAAGAGACGUAAAUGGGUUUUAGCUAUUCAUUUUGGGAUAAACAAUUCUGGAGGAUAGAGGCGGCCCUAAUUGGUUUGUGAGACAUAUAGGAAGGUAGUGCCAUGUUGAGGUGAAGUGAGGAAGGGUACAGGAGAGUGUUAAAAUAGCUAAGAAUAUGAUAGGACUAGGAAGGAGGGAAUUAUGGGGGUUGAAAGGAGAAUUGAUGGUUGAGUUUUUUGCUUGUUAGUAUUUGGCAGCUUACGACAUGAAGAUACUCAAGAGGAUAGCUAAUUUAAUUGGAGAGCAACAUGGGGAAUGGUCUAUUUGAUUGGUUCGGGAUUGACUUGUCCCUGCGUUGAGAAUUCAAUAUCAAGUUUAGGCUUGCCAAGUAGGAGCUUGAAUGGUUCACUGUAGAAAGAGGAAAUAAGAGAAAAUGCAGUAGUUUCAAAUUUGGAGAAGAAUUAUGCUUGGAUACACAUAGAAAAGAAAAGGGAACGGAGGAUAUGAGAUCACAAAGCAACUAACGGAUAGUCGGAUUGCUGUAUGGUCAUCAAUGAAAUGACAUCAUUUUUAGAGGUGAAGAGCGCAAGACAAUUUAUUCAAGACAAAAGACUGGCUAAAUGAGUCCAACAUGAGUUAGCACAACCACGUUAGGAGAUAUGUAGUCGGGACCGAUUAAUGGGGCCGCUGGAAAUAAAAAAAAGGUAAAUGUAACCGGGAUCUUUAAAAUUACUUUAUUGCAACAAUUAAAGCCUUAGAAUCUAAAUUUGAUACUGAGGCAUUGAAAGUAUUCGAUUUUCCUAUCAUCAUAUGAGAAAAUUUCUAGGCUUUAGGUUUGGCCAAUAACAUGGCAUUGGAAAAGCACAAGAGAUUUGGUUCCAUCAGUAAAAAGGAGGUUGUGGUUGUCUUAAGUGGUUUCCAUAACUUCCAUGGACAUGAUAAUUUGGUCUAGUAGGGAUAACAAAUUUUACUAAUCCACAAUUUUCUGUUUCCCUCCUACUAGCGAGUGGUGGACAAGGAUCGGAAAAGUGGCCACCUGGCUCAUCCCUCAUAUCUUUGAAACACCUUUGAUCGUUUACUUCAUUUUCAUUUUAACUUGAAUUAGAUAUUACUUUUCUUGCUGUUAUUGUGUGAUAGGAAUUUUUUGGAUGUGUGACUGUGGGAGUUUUUUUUUACUCCUCCCCAGGAGUUCCCCACUCGAACUCACAGCCUUAGGGUUGGAUGUGGAGGGCAUUUACCACUUGAGCAACCCCCUCUUGUCUAUGACUGGGAGCUAAUUGGAAAACGUACGCAUAUCUUAAUGGGUGAUGGUAACAGUAGAGGGCCGGUAGUGAUGCCAGUGACUGAGCAGAGGGCGCGGAUAGGUGGAGGGUUGCCCCCAAAAAAAGCGCCAUCACCAUCUUUUUCUUUGGUUUCUUUAAGGGUAUAG